CCUUUCCGAGUUGGACAAAACAUGGAUCUGGAAUGGAUCAGGGCCUGGGCCUGCCGAGCAAUUCCUUGCCCAAGCCAGAGGCCGCUUGCUAGCCUCUUGACCCCCUCAGGCGAUGGGAAUUUUCCUUUGACUAAAAAGGCUAGAUCUCACCCCGCCAGGAUUGUUGGCCUGGCUGCCCUCUCAGCCCACCACGUGACUGUGUUGCACCUGAGCCUGCAGCUGCAGCUGUGUAGAGUUGAAAGAAUAUUCCAGUGGGGAGGAGACUCCAGAAUGCUGCUGAUGAGAGUGGAUAGUCAUAUCCUACCCCUCCACGUUUUAGGUGACCUUGGACAAACCGCUUAACUUCUUUGAGCUUCAGUGUCUGCACCACAAAAUGGGAAUGACAGGUUGGUAAGAUGGCUCAGUGGAUGCAGAGAUUGCUGAACAAGCUUGAUGGUCUACGUUCAUUUCCCAGAACCCACAUAAAAAAGAUAGAACUGACUCCACAAAGUUGUCAUCUGACCACCACAUAAGAACUGUGGCAUAAAUGUGUCUCCUACAUACAUAUAGUAUUUUUUGAGAAUGAGAAUGAUACCUAAUAUAAUUUGGGGAAAUAUAAAGCUCAAGUAAAGGGUUUGCUAUGGGUUGGUUAUUUUGAGGCAGUGAUUUCGCUUUCAGCAUCCUGGUUGUUCCUUGUACUUUAAAUCAAGGCUUCAAAGAACCACUUGCUAAACAUGAAUGAAGGAAUGUGUUCAUGGAUGGAUGGAUGGGUGCAUGGAUGCAUGGAUGGGUAGCUUAACUAGCAAAAAAAAUGAAAGAUAAAUGUUAGGAGAACUACACAUUAUUGUGCUCAACUUGAAGAUGAGCAAAGUGGAAGCCAGAGAACUUACAUCAUCCAUAGAAAUUUAGAAUUCAAGCCAAGGACUUGCACUUUUGUUUCUUUGGAGGCCCCUGUUUGCCCACCAAUAAUCAAGUGUGAUCAUCAGACUUAUCAUAAGCCAUUGUCAGGGCAUCAGUGACAGAUUGGGAGUGCAAGAACAUCCCUUUCCUGGCUCAGUGUGAAAGCACACCCAACAAGUGGG
rnacentral:lncRNA from 1 species